AUUGAACGCUGGCGGCAGGCUUAACACAUGCAAGUCGAGCGGGGGAAGGUAGCUUGCUACCGGACCUAGCGGCGGACGGGUGAGUAAUGCUUAGGAAUCUGCCUAUUAGUGGGGGACAACAUCUCGAAAGGGAUGCUAAUACCGCAUACGUCCUACGGGAGAAAGCAGGGGAUCUUCGGACCUUGCGCUAAUAGAUGAGCCUAAGUCGGAUUAGCUAGUUGGUGGGGUAAAGGCCUACCAAGGCGACGAUCUGUAGCGGGUCUGAGAGGAUGAUCCGCCACACUGGGACUGAGACACGGCCCAGACUCCUACGGGAGGCAGCAGUGGGGAAUAUUGGACAAUAGGGGGAACCCUGAUCCAGCCAUGCCGCGUGUGUGAAGAAGGCCUUAUGGUUGUAAAGCACUUUAAGCGAGGAGGAGGCUACUUUAGUUAAUACCUAGAGAUAGUGGACGGUACUCGCAGAAUAAGCACCGGCUAACUCUGUG
rnacentral:rRNA from 1 species